UAAAAGUCGUAACAAGGUUUCCGUAGGUGA
rnacentral:ncRNA from 2 species